ACGAACGCUGGCGGCGUGCCUAAUACAUGCAAGUCGAACGGUCUUUCUAUGGAAGCUUGCUUCCACUGAGAAGAUAGUGGCGAACGGGUGAGUAACACGUGGGUAACCUGCCCAUAAGAGGGGGGAUAACAUCCGGAAACGGGUGCUAACACCGCAUAGUUUUCUUGAUCGCAUGAUCGGGAAAGGAAAGACGGCCUUUGUGCUGUCGCUUAUGGAUGGACCCGCGGCGUAUUAGUUAGUUGGUGAGGUAACGGCUCACCAAGACGAUGAUACGUAGCCGACCUGAGAGGGUGAUCGGCCACAUUGGGACUGAGACACGGCCCAAACUCCUACGGGAGGCAGCAGUAGGGAAUCUUCCGCAAUGGACGAAAGUCUGACGGAGCAACGCCGCGUGAGUGAAGAAAGGUUUUCGGAUCGUAAAACUCUGUUGUCAGAGAAGAACAAGUUGGAGAGUAACUGCUCCAGCCUUGACGGUAUCUGACCAGAAAGCCACGGCUAACUACGUGCCAGCCGCUGC
rnacentral:rRNA from 1 species